GCCACUGCUAUUGGGGUUCGGCUAAGCCAUGCGAGUGGAGGGCGUCCCGCAAGGGAUGGUCCCGCAGACGGCUCAGUAACACGUCGUCAACCCACCUUAGGGCGGGGGACAACCUCAGGAAACUGAGGAUAAUCCCCCAUAGGCGGGGGAGGCUGGAAUGCGCCCCCGCUGAAAGCUCAGGCGCCCUAGGAUGGGACUGCGGCCCAUCAGGCUGUUGGUGGUGUGAUG
rnacentral:rRNA from 1 species